AGAACUGGAAAGUUUUGCCGUUGGAAGAUCUGAGAUCCCAAGUGGCGGGCAGAGAGCUGUGAGGAGGCGAAUAGGCUGGGAAGAAGCACACCAGGGCAUGGAGAAUUUGGAUCGCAUAUCCUACCACAGGGAGGACAGAGGCUGCAGAGCAGGAGAAACUUGAGCAUCUCGUAACAGCUACGUUAAAGAGCAGUUGAGGUGACCCCGUUAAUGCUGAUGUAAAUGCCUGAAGUGACCACAGCAGCAGCUGGGAGGUGGCAGAAGAGAGCUGCUUUUCAGCCAUGCCCUUUGUUGCCGCAAGCCAAACAAGCUCUUGCUCAAACUUCAGGCUGCGGAGGGUCAGGGAUAAAGACAGCUGCCGACACGACUUUGAGUGUACCUCCUUCUCAGAGAAGUCCUCGGGUGGCACAGAGCUGGCUCCAUGAGAACUGUGCUUGGCUUCAGCUGUGCAGGAGAGAAAGGGGAGGUAUCGACCUUCCAUCACUGACCAGCAGAUGCAGGGCUACCCUGGAUUCACUCAAGUGUGCCUGGCUCCUGCGCUCUGAAGAGGAUGCUCCACUCCGCUCUGCACUGAUGCAUUCAGGAGGACAGCAGUUAAGAUGUGGGCCUUAUUUUCCUGCCCAAAUCCUGCGGGAGAAGAAGCGAUCACAUGCUAUUCGUUGUUUCGAGAUUAUUGAAGAAACCACUGCUAUUGAACUGGCAGGGGAUCUUUCCUUCUGUGACCUUUGCCAGAGCAUCUGA
rnacentral:lncRNA from 1 species